rfam:Trichobilharzia regenti genome assembly, scaffold: TRE_scaffold0012315
AUCCAGCUGACGAGAUCCAAAUAGGACGAAAUGCGCAUCCUGGAU